CACGUAGGGCGCAAGCGUUGUCCGGAAUUAUUGGGCGUAAAGAGCUCGUAGGCGGUCUGUUGCGUCCGCUGUGAAAACUCGGGGCUUAACCCCGAGCCUGCAGUGGAUACGGGCAGACUAGAGGUAGGUAGGGGAGAAUGGAAUUCCCGGUGUAGCGGUGAAAUGCGCAGAUAUCGGGAGGAACACCGGUGGCGAAGGCGGCAUUCUGGACCAUUACUGACGCUGAGGAGCGAAAGCCAGGGGAGCAAAGCGGG
rnacentral:rRNA from 1 species